ACAAACAUCACAACUACAUAUAAGACAAGGCUUUUCAGUGGCAUGUGUUAGUAUGUGACUGUUUAAGCUACCUUUCCGCUUA